rnacentral:rRNA from 1 species
UGCUUAUCUUACCUGCCGUUUAGUGGGGGAUAAAAUACCGCAUAUUCUGGUUUCGACCAGGAAAGGACUUCGGUUCGCUAAAUGAUGGGGAUAAGGCGUAUUAGUUUGUUGGUGGGGUAAAGGCCUACCAAGACCAAGAUGCGUAGCCAAACUGAGAGGUUGAAUGGCCACAGGGAAACUGAGACACGGUUCCCACUCCUACGGGAGGCAGCAGUGAGGAAUAUUCCGCAAUGGGCGAAAGCCUGACGGAGCGAUGCUACGUGAAGGAUGAAGGUCUACGGAUUGUAAACUUCUUUACUUGGAUGUACUCCUUAAAACUUGCAUCCGAGCAAAAAGUCACGACUAACUAUGUGCCAGCAGUCGCGGUAAGACAUAGGUGGCGAACGUUAUCCGGAAUUAUUGGGCGUAAAGGAUGCGUAGAUGGUAGAAUAAGUUAUUGGUUGAUACCAAACUCAAUUUGGUGGAGGCUGGUAAUACUGUUCGGCUAGAGGGCAGGAGAAGUUGAUGGAAUUCUGUGUGGAGCGGUGAAAUGCGUUGAUCUACAGAGGAACACCAAAAAAGGCGAAGGCAGUCAACUAUUCUGUUCCUGACAUUGAGGCAUGAAAGCGUGGGGAGCAAACCGGAUUAGAUACCCGGGUAGUCCACGCCCUAAACGAUGAGCAUUAGAUAUUGGGCAUUUUGCUUAGUGUCCCAGCUAACGCUUUAAAUGCUCCGCCUGAGUACUACGGUCGCAAGGCUAAAACUCAAAGGAAUUGACGGGGACCCGCACAAGCGGUGGAGCAUGUGGUUUAAUUCGAUACGACGCGCAGAACCUUACCAAGGUUUGACAUGGAGGGCAAAGUUGAAGAAACUCAACGGAGGUUAUCCCGACACAGGUGGUGCAUGGUCGUCGUCAGUUCGUGCUGUGAAGCGUACGCUUAAGUGCUAGAACGAACGCAACCCUCAUAUUUAGUUGCUAUCAUUUAGUUGAGAACUCUAAAUAGACUGCUAAGAUAACUUAGAGGAAGGAGAGGAUCACGUUUGGUCAUC